rnacentral:rRNA from 1 species
UACGUAGGGUGCGAGCGUUGUCCGGAAUCAUUGGGCGUAAAGAGCGCGCAGGCGGUCGGAUAAGUCGAAUGUGAAAGCCCCCGGCUCAACUGGGGAGGGUCAUUCGAUACUGUUCGACUCGAAGGCAGGAGAGGGAAGUGGAAUUCCGGGUGUAGUGGUGAAAUGCGCAGAUAUCAGGAGGAACACCGAUGGCGAAGGCAGGUCUCUGGGCCACUACUGACGCUGAGAAGCGAAAGCAUGGGGAGCGAACAGG